UACGUAGGGUGCGAGCGUUAAUCGGAAUUACUGGGCGUAAAGCGUGCGCAGGCGGUUUUUUAAGCCAGAUGUUAAAUCCCCGGGCUUAACCUGGGAAUGGCAUUUGGGACUGCAAGGCUGGAGUGCGGCAGAGGAGACUGGAAUUCCUGGUGUAGCAGUGAAAUGCGUAGAUAUCAGGAGGAAUACCGAUGGCGAAGGCAGGUCUCUGGGCUGACACUGACGCUCAUGCACGAAAGCGUGGGGAGCAAACAGG
rnacentral:rRNA from 1 species